rnacentral:misc_RNA from 1 species
CGCACAUUGCGCCCUUUGGCAUUCCGAAGGGCAUGCCCGUUCGAGCGUCAUUAAAUCCAAUCAAGCCUGGCUUGGUAUUGGGCGCUGGAGCACCUCCACGCCUCAAUGUCCCCGGCUGGCCAGUCGCCUGUCUUAAUGUCGUGACGCAUUUCAUUAAGGCGGGGGCGGUGCACGCCGUCAGAAUUCAACAAAGCUCUCACGAACUUUGAUUAAGGUUGACCUCGGAUCGGGUAGGAAUACCCGCUGAACUUAA